ACACAUGCAGUCGAGCGGAUGAAAGGAGCUUGCUCCUGGAUUCAGCGGCGGACGGGUGAGUAAUGCCUAGGAAUCUGCCUGGUAGUGGGGGACAACGUUUCGAAAGGAACGCUAAUACCGCAUACGUCCUACGGGAGAAAGCAGGGGACCUUCGGGCCUUGCGCUAUCAGAUGAGCCUAGGUCGGAUUAGCUAGUUGGUGAGGUAAUGGCUCACCAAGGCGACGAUCCGUAACUGGUCUGAGAGGAUGAUCAGUCACACUGGAACUGAGACACGGUCCAGACUCCUACGGGAGGCAGCAGUGGGGAAUAUUGGACAAUGGGCGAAAGCCUGAUCCAGCCAUGCCGCGUGUGUGAAGAAGGUCUUCGGAUUGUAAAGCACUUUAAGUUGGGAGGAAGGGUUGUAGAUUAAUACUCUGCAAUUUUGACGUUACCGACAGAAUAAGCACCGGCUAACUCUGUGCCAGCAGCCGCGGUAAUACAGAGGGUGCAAGCGUUAAUCGGAAUUACUGGGCGUAAAGCGCGCGUAGGUGGUUCGUUAAGUUGGAUGUGAAAUCCCCGGGCUCAACCUGGGAACUGCAUCCAAAACUGGCGAGCUAGAGUAUGGUAGAGGGUGGUGGAAUUUCCUGUGUAGCGGUGAAAUGCGUAGAUAUAGGAAGGAACACCAGUGGCGAAGGCGACCACCUGGGACUGAUACUGACACUGAGGUGCGAAAGCGUGGGGAGCAAACAGGAUGUA
rnacentral:rRNA from 1 species